rnacentral:rRNA from 1 species
AUGGUGCCGCCAAUGACCACGGCAGCGGCCAGUGGAGACAACGUACCCGUCCCCGCUGCCGUAGGUGUGCCACUGGGUUCACCGGCUGCCACACCUGCAGCCACAGCAGCGACACCAGCGACGACCGCAGCGUCCAAGAAGAUCCCAUUGCCGGUGCCCGAGACACUUCCCGGCGCAGAAGGCCUCGGCUUCGGCGGCGGGUACGGCGGGCAGACGGUGCCGGGCGGCGGCCUCGGCGGGUUCAACGGAGACCAGGGCUUCUUCGGCGGGUGCUGCGGAGGCUUCGGGUACAACGGCGGUCCUGGGUAUAACAACGGGCCGCUGUUCUUCAACUCGGCGCCCGCAACAGGAUUGAGGCUGAGGAUGGUGGCGACGGGAAACGGCUUGGCGCCUCUGCUGGUGGCUGGUGCUGCAGCCAUGUUUUACGCGUGA